ACCUUGACCAUUUCUUUUAUUUUGGAGGAUAAAUAAGUGAUUUCACUUCAUUGGGGCCCAAUUGCAAGGGAGGUCGUGCCGGUAAUCCGACGCCUACGCCUGAAGCUAACUUGUGAAAUUGCUUACUUAACUUGGGAUAUGAAUAACUUUUGAGGGAACUAUAUUGUUUUGAAGCACGAGUUGAACUAGUUUUCAUAUAGUUUGAUUAUAUUUUUUUGUAAAGCUCCUCGAUGGUUGAAAAAAUCCUAAAUGUACUUUGAUCUAAAUUUCUCCCUUUUGAUUUGUAAAUUACAAACGUAUGUGUAUAACACUGUUAAACCCUGUUCAUGUAUCCUAUUUGGUUUGGGAAUGUUUCUCCGA